rnacentral:rRNA from 1 species
UUUUUUAUAAAAAUAAUUUAUUUAUUUAAGGUUUUAGUAUUAAUUAAAAAUUAAUUUAUAAAUUUAUAGUUUAAUAGUAUUGUAAAAAAAAUUGUUAAAUUUAAUAAAGAAUUUAUUAGUACUUUUUGUAUCAGGGUUGAUUAAAAUUUUUAAUUUUUUUUUAAUUUCUCAAAAUUUAUAGAGUUAAUUUUAUUAUUAAUUUAUUGUAGUAAAAAUAUUUAAAAAAUAAUAUUAGUUUUGAAAUUUAAUUCGUUAUAUUAUAUUUAGUUAUUUAAGAUUUAAAUUUAAUUUAAAAUUUUAAAAGUUAUAUUGAUUUUAUUAAUUAAUAUUUUAGAUUUAAAUUAUUUUAGGGAUAAGCUUGAAAUUUUAAUAUAAUAAUUUAUUUAUUUUAAUAAUUUAUAGGAAUAGAAAUUUUUAUAUAAGUUUGUAAAAAUUUAUUAUUUAUUUAAUUUUAAUUUAUUAUAUUUAUAUUUAUUUUUAGUAUUAAAUUUUAUUAAUUAAUAUUUAAUUAAUAGUAAUAAUGAUUAAAUUAGUAUAAUAUAUAAAUUUAUAAAUUAUGAAUUCGGCAAAAAUUAUUUUCAUCUGUUUAACAAAAACAUUGUAUUAAGUUUAAUUUAAUAUAGGAUCUGCUCAAUGAUUUAUUAAAUAGCUGCAGUAUUUUGACUGUGCAAAGGUAGCAUAAUAAUUAGUCUUUUAAUUGAGGACUUGAAUGAAAGAUUUGAUGAGAAAUAAACUUUAUUAUUUGUAAAAUUAGAAUUUUAUUUUUAAGUAAAAAAGCUUAAAUUAUUUAAAGGGACGAUAAGACCCUAUAAAACUUUAUAAAUUUUAAUUUUAAUUUUUUUGGAUUUAUAAAUAUUUUACAAUUAAAAUUUAUUUUAUUGGGGUGAUAAAAAAAAUUAAUAAACUUUUUUUAAAAUUUAACAUUAUUUAAUGAUUAUUUGAAUUAAAAUUUUUAAUUAAAGGAAAAAGUUACUUUAGGGAUAACAGCGUAAUUAAUUUUUUAAGUUCAAAUUUAAAAAUUAGUUUGCGACCUCGAUGUUGAAUUAAGAUUAAUCUUAGGUGCAAAAUUUUAAGUAUUAGGUCUGUUCGACCUUUAAU